GACGAACGCUGGCGGCGUGCUUAACACAUGCAAGUCGAACGGAAAGGCCCUGCUUUUGUGGGGUGCUCGAGUGGCGAACGGGUGAGUAACACGUGAGUAACCUGCCCUUGACUUUGGGAUAACUUCAGGAAACUGGGGCUAAUACCGGAUAGGAGCUCCUGCUGCAUGGUGGGGGUUGGAAAGUUUCGGCGGUUGGGGAUGGACUCGCGGCUUAUCAGCUUGUUGGUGGGGUAGUGGCUUACCAAGGCUUUGACGGGUAGCCGGCCUGAGAGGGUGACCGGCCACAUUGGGACUGAGAUACGGCCCAGACUCCUACGGGAGGCAGCAGGGGGGAAUAUUGCACAAUGGGCGGAAGCCUGAUGCAGCAACGCCGCGUGCGGGAUGACGGCCUUCGGGUUGUAAACCGCUUUCGCCUGUGACGAAGCGUGAGUGACGGUAAUGGGUAAAGAAGCACCGGCUAACUAAGUG
rnacentral:rRNA from 1 species